rnacentral:rRNA from 1 species
AUUGAACGCUGGCGGAAUGCUUUACACAUGCAAGUCGAACGGCAGCACGGACUUCGGUCUGGUGGCGAGUGGCGAACGGGUGAGUAAUGUAUCGGAACGUGCCCAGUCGUGGGGGAUAACGUAGUGAAAAUUACGCUAAUACCGCAUACGAUCUAUGGAUGAAAGCGGGGGAUCGCAAGACCUCGCGCGAUUGGAGCGGCCGAUAUCAGAUUAGGUAGUUGGUGGGGUAAAGGACCACCAAGCCAACGAUCUGUAGCUGGUCUGAGAGGACGACCAGCCACACUGGAACAGGGACACGGUCCAGACUCCUACGGGAGGCAGCAGUGGUGAAUUUUGGACAAUGGGCGAAAGCCUGAUCCAGCCAUUCCGCGUGCAGGAUGAAGGCCCUCGGGUUGUAAACUGCUUUUGUACAGAACGAAAAGGUUUCUACUAAUACUAGGAGCUCAUGACGGUACUGUAAGAAUAAGCACCGGCUAACUACGUGCCAGCCGCCGCGGUAA